rnacentral:lncRNA from 1 species
AAAAAUGUACGUGAAUUGUAGUUCAUACUUAAAUAUGAAAGAUGAUGAUGACAGUGCUGGUCGUACUUCCCUACUGAUUCUAAGCCAGAAUCGUCGUCCUGUUGAUGAUGACGAAGUAAUAUUUUGAUCAGAAGAACCUAGAGAGCUCUCUAUCUUUCCACCAUAUGUAUAUCUAAUGCAAUAACGUACGGAGAAUGUCGACGAUCUUUAUAACUCGUCAGCUAUGAUUAAUAAAUAAGCUGUGUGUUUAUUAGACAAGUUUUUUUUUUAAAAACCCAGUAUAAUCCCACUUAGUGGGGUCUGGGGAGGGUAAUAUGUACGCAGACCUUACCCCUNNNNNNNNNNNNNNNNNNNNNNNNNNNNNNNNNNNNNNNNNNNNNNNNNNNNNNNNNNNNNNNNNNNNNNNNNNNNNNNNNNNNNNNNNNNNNNNNNNNNNNNNNNNNNNNNNNNNNUCCCGGCAUCCUUCCCUCCAAGAACUUCCCACCUUGCUCUUGGGAGACUCGAACUCACAACCUCUCGGUUAGAAGUGAGGGUUGCUUACCAUGAGGGUUACUUAUUAGACAAGUUUGUUUUCUGCUUUUCUGCACAAGUCCCUUCACCCCUUGCAGACAUCAAUUAAUUGUGUGGCAAUAUCCUCCAAAUUCAAAAUUAUACUGCAUCUUUCUUCACGUCAAGCAACUCCUUUCCACUAUAUCAAACCUUCUGUCGUAUAAUGGCCUAUGGUUCAAGUUCUCCCCGUAGGCCCCAAUCACUAAUCUCUGAUGUUCUCCAAUCAUUCCAAACUUUUCUUAAGGCACGUAGUUAUCCUACUACCAAGCCCAUAUGCAACACCCGCCACCCUCCCACUUUGGCGGAACUCAUUUUCUUAAUCGGUCACUCGACCUUGCUUCUCAUACUUAGCCUUCUAGAAAUUUAAACGCUUCCUGACACUUCCCACAUGACUUUCUCAUGCUCUGCCGCUCAAUUGUUUCUUUAAAUAAAAUAUACCUUAGCGGCACUUGAAUCCACCAUUGCUGCUAACUUUAGAACCCCUCCAAAGGUCGUCCUUAUCAAUCCAUCAACAUUAGAAAUUCUGAUUUGAUCUUAAACAACCGCACCAUGCGAUAUCUGACAGCUGUAUCUCCAAUACUAUUUCACAAUAUGCUGUCAUAAGGCGAAUUGUAGCAAGUUAUAAUAUCGACAAACUUAUUACGUUUCAUUAGGGCCACAACACCCCAUCAUAAUAGAAAGCUUAACCACGCUUACAAUUGCUAAGUCUCAUUACUUCCAGUAGCCACAUCUGACCAUUGUUAAUCCGACUGCCCUUUUCCCCUACCGGAAAUAAGAUACUGAAUCUCUUGAUUACACGAUGAGUAAACUUCCCUUCAAUUCAUCCACUUCCCCCGACACGUGGGAAAAUAUCAUACCAUCACAACCACACCGCGGAAUAAUAACUUAUAAACAUCAUGGCAACCUGUGCCUAGUCUCAAGGCUCUUAGAAGUUAUGUUACUGAGCUGAACAAUAGAAUAUCUUCCCAUAAAGCAACUAUAAUAGUUUAAAGCAAUUAGAUACCAUGUCUAAAAGGUUUAAAACAAGUGUCAGCAUUUAGAUACCAUGUCUACAAAGUUUCUGCAUUUAGAUACCAUGUCCAUAAGGUUUCUGCGUUUAGAUAUCACAUCUAUAAGGGUCUAAAAUCAGUAACGUAUGGAAAACAUGCCUAGAUGGGUUUCUAAAUAAAUCUGACUCGCUUUCACUUACAUUCAAUGUUAGAUACAAAAUCAGUAAUAGUAGAUACUAUCACCAGCAGAACUUGUAACCAAUUUAUUUAAUUUUUGUACAUUCUGUAUCUCUUUUAAUAAUCUAAGUCCCUCACUUAACAAGUUUAACAAGUAUGCAUAUAGGACCUCAAACAAUUCAUUCCGAGCCUUACUAUCUCAUCACCUUCUAAAUUCAGUAGAUAUCACGCCAAUAGGAUCCCGUCUAAACACUUAGGCAAGCCUUAGAGUAAUAAAUGUAAACUGAAUCUGCUUCUAGUAAUCAUUGCAUCCAGUAGGCAGGCCUUGUUCAGACUUCUUAUUUGAGUUCUGUAAUAAACCAAUCUGCCUCAAUAUUUAAACUACCUUGUCGUUGGUAUUUUUAAUCAAACCUAAAAAGUAUGUGCAAGUCAUGCUAAUCAUAUGUUUUCUUUGUUUAAAUAGGUGUAUAUGAGCCUUUGUCUAUUUAUAUGUUUUCCCAAAUAUGCAAUAUGUGUUUUGUAUGUCGCUUUAGAAUUUUUACCUUUGAAACUUCAAAUAAGCCCAAUAUCCCUCCUUUUAGGAUUAGUAGUCCUAAGUGCCUUCGGGACUGAUAUGAAUGGGACGGAUAAUAGCAUGCAAUAAGUAGUCGAGAUCAAUCCACAUUUUAAAUACCUUAAUGGUGUAGGAAGGGUAGAUAUGGAUAUGAUGACCACGAGAUAAUGUCACGUGUAGCUCCUCAUUGAGGAGUAAUUAACGGAAAUUUUGUGGGAUGAUCCAUAUUUUUAUAAACCUAGGACCCCCCCCCCUUCCUUAAUUCUUUUUUCUUUUUUUAGCAUUUCAAAUCAUUAUUUAAAAAAUUAGCUUUUCUAAUUGUUCUUUCAAACUUUGUUUACUUUCAAACCAUUAUGUGUUAAAAUUCCCUCUUAUUUGAGCCUUAUCUGCCUAUAUGUUAAUUGCACCUCAAUUCACAAUAAUUGUCUGACCAGGAAUCACGCUAGUGGAUUCUGAGGUGUGCCUAACAACUUCCCGUUAAUUUCAAGGCCUUACUCUAUCUUUGGUUAUUCAAUCAAACUCAAAGUUGAAUCUCUUUUGGUAUCCUAAUGCACCUCAAUCAUUAGGUGGUGACUCUUCAAAUGCAAAUCUAAUUCCCAAAAAGGAACGAGUUGUGCCUCCAAAUAUCAUAAACCCGAUUUUGUAAGAAAGGGAAUCACGCUAGUGGAUUCUGAGGGGUGUCUAACAACUUUCCCUUAAUUUCAAGGCCUUAUCCUAUCUUAGGUUAUUCAGUCAAACUCAAAGUUGAAUCUCUUUUGGUGUACUAAUGCACCUCAAUCAUUAGGUGGUGACUCUUCAAAUGCAAGUCCAGUUCCCAAAAAGGAACGAGUUGUGCCUCCAAAUGUCAUAAACCCGAUUUUGUAAGAAAAAGGUGGCGCGACAUCAUGGCGACUCUACUAGGAUUUCAUUUAGGCUUUUAGCAUUUCGGACUAUUAUUCUGAAUUUAUACCUAUUUAUGUUCAAUUACUUGUUUAAUUCUUUUAAGCAUUCAAUUUCCUUCUCAACUACAAAACUAACUUGUCUCCUUUGGUCCAUUGUUUUAUUACUUCUUUAGAUUAUGAAACUGUUGUAUUUACUGCUUUCUUAACGUGCAAAUAUGUGCCAACAUACUUUUUAAUUAUUUCAUAACCAUGCUCAAAAUCAUUUUUCACUCGUGCCAAACAAAUACCAUAACAACGCUUAUAAUGAGUGGUUAUUCUCUUCCGAUAUUAUCACCUCGUAAUACCAAAAAUAGGCACAUUUGUGGCAAAACCAGUCAAUCAACGGUGUAGGCGACGGUUACGUGCCUUUCCCCUUGAGUUGUCCGCUCAAGGUACCAGUCUACAACCCCGUAGAAACCUUACUCUGUUUAACUGUGCAUGCAUCAUUAUCAACCCUAAUUGAGUCAGUUAUGUUGUCCGCAUAAUGACCCUUUAAGAUAGUCUUAUCCAAAGUCCACUGGGUUUCCCUAAAUUCAAACGAACAUUAUCAGGUCGUGUGCAUUUAUUUGGAAAACUAAUUAUUUUUAUGCUAAUAAGUCGAGUCAGAUGGGGGUAAGGGCCUAACCCCUUUUUGUCUUGCAGAAAUAUCAGGCACGAAGUCCCUAGAUUUGGCAUGGUCACCAACAUCACCCAAAAUUGGUAAGCUGGUGGGAGGAUCUUCACUCCAGGGAUCAGACCCUUGUCCGGAAAUAUCUGGCAACCUACCUUCCCUUCUGGAAAUUCAACCAAACAACAAGAUCAUAGACACUGCUACUUUAUUCUUGGAUUAUGGGAGGUUCCUAUUCUAUUUUUGGGACAUUGAAUGACAUCCUUGCUAGAAGAAAUAGGGGGAUUGGCCGGUAUACCAUGGGAAACUCCGGGUUUGUUAAUGCCUGAGAACCGCAAGGGCAGAGGCUUCCUCAAAAUGAUGGGUUUGAAUAAGAAUCCAGAACUGACAUGUUUGAAAGAAUCUUAUAUCCUCUUUGACUAUUUGUAUGAGAGGCAUAGUCAUAGCAAAUCCUACCAUACCUAUUCUGACGAGUUUGCCAUCACAUUACUAGUGCAUAUUCAUCAAAGAGUCUUCGUCUUCAUGUUUUGUUUCCCGAGGAUGAUAGUGUUUUCAAUGAAGAAAGAAAGGAUCCAUACCAGGCUGGCUAUGGUAACUAAUACUCUAAUGGAGGGAAUUGGUGGGCAACCAUUCACUAUUGUGCCCAUGAUCAUCGCAAAAUAUACCGGGCCUUGGAGAAGUGUCAACAAGGAGCCAAAUACUUUGAGGGCUGCAAUUUGCUACUCUAGCUUUGGCUCAUGGAGCAUAUCCAAAAGGGUGAAUACCGACAAGAUAUUCAACAAAGGAACUGGGAUGAUCAUAUAGCCUUCUAUCAUCCAAGGCGAAUGAAUUACAUGCCCAACAUGUUCGCUCAGUCGGAAGACGCCAAGGGAUGGGUAGAGCUGUUUGAUAAUCUGAUUGAGGGUCAAGUACAAUGGAUGUUCGAGUGGUUCCCUACCGAGGAGUUCAUUGCCCGAUCCAGGGAUGCACUAUUUAUGAUACUGAUCGAUCUGAGAGGAACAUAUCCAUACGUCCCUCUACGAGUUAUAAGGUAAGCUGGUAAGAAGCAGGUUGUACCCAGGGUUCACAAGAUGAGUCAUUUCCGAGCCAACUUCUAGGAUGAUGAUAGCCUUUACAAGUUCCAAGUUCAGCACAUGUGGCACUGCAAUAUCAUCAUGGGAAGGGAAACCAUCGAGCCAGAUAGAUACCAUGCUAGUUGUGCUCCCUACUAUUCAGGCUGGUUGGAGAAUAAUAAUAAUGGUCUGGGCCAGCCUAGAUUUGUUUGAGGUCACAUUAUCAUAGAUGAAAAGGCCGAGGCACAGGUCAAAUACAAUCAACUGGGCAUGAGAAUCUAGGAAUGUGAAAGCGAGCACUGUAAGAUACAAGAAGCCAACCAAAUGUUGAUCGAGGAGGGGAAAAACAUGGUAUUUAGUGCCAACAAACGACUGGGAUACUUGGAGCGGGGUAUAGUGGAGAUGGAAAGAAAAUUCCUCAAAAGAAAGGAUUGCCAAAAUGUUGAAGGAAACGAGGGCGGACAUCUAGCCAGAGCCUACCUAUUGCUAGGACUUCGCGAGCUAGGGAAGCUUUUCGACGGAUCCAAGGAUCCCGAAUCUGAGGAAGGUCCUUCUGGGACCAAAUAGAUAGGAGUUUAUCCUUUCGCUUUAUAAAAUGUAAUAAGGCCAAUGGCCAUUAGUGAUUUUUCCUUUCCUAUUUUCUUAGUGUCGAUUUGGGAUUCGUGUACUUCUUAUCAAUAAAAUGAGGCAUUUAUCAUUCUAUGUUCUCCAAAUACAUUUGUCUCUAGGCCUACCUCAAGCACAAAGAGAUUCCCAAAAUUAGGAUGCAUCUUACGUUUUGCACUAUAUGUAUAAAUAUCGCAACAUUUUCUUAUAAUAUUCACUGACUUGUUACCUUUUUGUUUUUACUUUUUGUUUAUUUCUUCCCCUCCCCAAAGAUUUGUUCGUGCACUCUGGCAAUAUCAUCUUAUUCCAGGAGAUCCAGGGGCCCGCCACCCACUUCUCCUCUUAGUCCUGUCUAAAACAAGAACUAAGGGAAGAUGGAAGAUCAAUGCCAGAAAGGAAACCUAAUCUGAAUAGGUAGAGGUCACUCAUGGUCAUGGCACUCUGGUUCCUAAGGAAAAUGCAUUCCAACUUGAACAAAAACUGCUGAAAUUUCAAGAAGAGCUCGAUUAGGUUCGGAAUCUGGCAAAUCUGCCAUUUUCCUUCACCACUACAGAUGUUAAUUUCCCAAAUGCUCAGAACCCUACACCUCCACAGAACAUCCCAAUGCAGCAAAACCAUCCCACUCCUCACUACCACUACAAUGUCUGCCAUACCUCAAGAAACAUCCUGAUGCUUGUCCCAAAACUCCAAAAAUCCACAAAUGACCACUCCACGCCCACCAUAACACCCUCAUCUACGCGGAGACCAUGCCACACUCCACUCAACCCAUCUCAAUAACACAUGAGUCUGAUGAUAACGAAUUGCUCAUCAGGAACCUGGCCAAAAAGCUUACGAAAUUGACCAUCCAAAUUCAAGGCAUCGAAGGAAGCAAGGGAAUUGAGGGGAUAAACUAUGAAGAUCUUUGCAUACAGCUCGAUGUCGAACUGCCCGAGGGGUACAAACCUUUGAAGUUUGAAAUGUUUGUUGGUACAAUGGAUCCAAGAGUCCAUUUGAGAAGAUACUAUGAUAACCUGGUCAGAGUAGGGAAGGACAAAAGAAUCCGCAUGAAGCUUUUCAUGAGGAGUCUGAAAGGAGAUGCUCUAUCUUGGUACAUUAGCCAAGAUCCAAAGAAAUGGUCAAACUAUGUGGAUAUGGCGUCUAACUUUAUGGACAGGUUCAGGUUCAACACAGAGAAUGCGUUGGAUGUGUUCUACAUUGAGAAUAUAAAGAAGAAGCCUAUAGAGAUAUUUCGCGAGUAUGCUACUCACUAGAGGUCAGAAGCUGCUAAGGUUAGACCUGCCUUAGAAGAGAAACAUAUGAACAAAUUCUUUGUCCGGACCCACGGCCCACACUAUUAUUAAAGGGUGAUGAUGAUUGAGAGCCUCAAAUUUUCUGAUAUUAUCAAGCUGGGUGAAAGGAUGGAAGAGGGCAUCAAAAACGGUAUGGUUACGGAAUUUGAGGCUUUGCAAGCUACAAAUAAGUCCUUACAGUCCGAUGGUGUGCCCAAGAAAAGGGAUGUAGGAGCCGUAAUGGUUGCACAAAGAACCAAAUCUCCCAUCAAAUACCAAACAUAUUCAAUGCCUCCACUCAGCCACCCCGAACUAUCAAGCACCCUCACCCUUUUACCAAACUCCACCACCCACUUAUCAAUCGCCUCCACCUCCUAUAUAUCAGCCUACUUCACCCAGAUAUUUCCAACUCGGCAUGUUUAUCAAUCCUACAAUACUCAACCUUCCCACUAUCAAUCACUUUCUGCGCCUUAACUUCCCUAGACCUCGACCAAACUUCGACCGUAGUCCCCCAAAAUAAUGUACAUCCAUUACUGAACCUAUUAACUUGUUGUACGAAAGACUCAAAACAGUUAUUUACACAAUUACUGCUAUAAUUUGAACCCUCAUACUUGAGUUAUUUGGAUAAUUCUCAUCACCAUCAUUAUGCUUCACUCAUUUUCUUCGAUACAAGCCAUUCGGAUAUAUAUGACUGAUAUUUAUUGUCAGAACUUGAUUCCGCGUCCAAUUUAAGCAAAGAAUCAUAUGACUAGCUUUGAUAUAAUUUCCGCUUACAAAAACUGCUAUAAAUAACAUGUACCAAAGGAAAUCCAAGCAAAAGUAAUAAGAAGGAGAAAAUGUACGUGAAUUGUAGUUCAUACUUAAAUAUGAAAGAUGAUGAUGACAGUGCUGGUCGUACUUCCCUACUGAUUCUAAGCCAGAAUCGUCGUCCUGUUGAUGAUGACGAAGUAAUAUUUUGAUCAGAAGAACCUAGAGAGCUCUCUAUCUUUCCACCAUAUGUAUAUCUAAUGCAAUAACGUACGGAGAAUGUCGACGAUCUUUAUAACUCG